AGCACCCCUUUGGUCGUCCUCCCCUCUAUUUAUUUACAUCUAGAGCCGCCAUGAACAACUGGGUUUUGUUUAGAUCAAGUUUAGCCUUCGCUACUUGCUUGUAGGCGCGCGUGCAGGAUCAGCCGCCCGUCUCCUUGUCUUCGGAACCCCAUUGUUGAUUCAGAUUCAGUUUGAAACCUUCAAUUCAUCUUGCAAAUUCAGUGCUUGUUUCCUCGUUCUUGCUAGUUCUUCGAUUGCUUGCAGGACGGGAGCCCUAGGGGCUGGUUGUCGCACUCCACAAGAUCGUGACGGCUGUUGGACGUGGUGUAUCGGUUGCUAAGGCGCGGUCUUGAGGGCUGUAGUCGGGCCAUGAACGUCAUCUCCAUCCACUAAUCGAGUUAUCCAGCGCCUCUCAUCGAAAGAUCAGGCCAAAAACCCUAGCGGGUUCGCAUCAGUUGGUAAUCAGAGCAAGGUUCUUCGGUGAGAGACUUCUAAUCCUUUGCUGUUUUUAAUUAAUUUCCUAUAGUCCAGAAAAGCCAAAAAAAAUAUAGUAGAUUAGUUUUUCCAUAAUCCUAUUAAACCUUUGUGCCUUGGCUAGUACCGUUUUAGUUAGGGCUUGUUGAAUUUGCGUUGCUUCGGUUUGUGUCGAGUUGCUGGUCUUAGUGUCUAGUCCUUUAGAGUUUCGAGUUCUUGUCACCAUCUAUACACAGCCGAGUAUUACCAUACCUUCUCUCUGUCAAAUCUGUUGUGAAGUCUGAAUUGAACUGUGAUCCAAAAAGAACGAUAACUCCAUACUUGUUCGGCCUUACUCUAGAGAGAGAGAGAGAGAGAGAGAGAGAGAGUGUAGCGAAUUGCUCUUUUGUAUUCCUUUGUUCAUAUAAUCAGUUUUUGAGGUUGCCCAAAAAAAAAGAAAAAAAAAGAAAAGAGAAAAGAUUCAAAAGAAAAAAAGGGGCUGUUUUCCAUAUUGAUCUUAGGUUUCUUCCACCUUGUUUUCGGGGGUGUGCUGUGGUUUUCCUUUGUGUCCAGGCUUGCGUCUCUAGCACGGUCUAGCCUAGGACCAGCACAGUACCAUCGUCGAACGCUUAUUCAGCUCGCUUUUAUAACUAACGUGGUGCUAGUUCGUUCCUUGUUUCAGCCCACUUAUAGCUCCACAUACUCUACAGCUUGACAGGUCUUGUGCUGCAGCACCGAUACACUUCGUCCAUUGUUGUACACUUGUUGGCAGACGACCCCUCCUAUCAAGCAAGGUAAGAAUUGGUAAGAACUUGUGUUACAGGUUGAGUGUGAGCGACUUGCUGUAGCUACAUCCUAGUAGUUGUAGGGCUUUUAUUUCUUCACUUGCCUUUUUGUUGUCUUUGUCUUUGAACCAUGCCAGGGGCAGAUGAUGGUAACGAAACACCACUUACACCUCACACUAAGGGCAUCAUACAACAUUUUGAAAGGAAAGUGAAGCUGCACACAGAGGGACUUGAUAACGACUUGCAGGUGACGAAUGAAAAGCUGGGGCGGUUGGAGGCUACACAGAUUGCCACAAACAACAAGCUCACAAGUUUGGAGGAAUCCGUUGCUAGUGUGGACAAAAGCCUUGCUGCUCUCCUAAGGCGAUUUGAUGCUUUCCACACCGAAGAUAAAGAGAAGCAUAAAGAAGAAAAGGAGGG
rnacentral:lncRNA from 1 species